AGAAGUCAUGGCUUAUGAAAAAGACCACCAGGGGUCCCCAUAUCAUCCAGAACAUAAUCCUGUUUGGCUACAGCAUCAUCUUUGCCUCAGCUGAAGCACAGGCAAGGACAAAGUCAAAAAAGCAAGUGUUAUCCCUGAAUGCUGUCCAUCAAUGAAGCUCAUCCCAACUUAAAUGGUAAAUUGAAUUUCCGUGAAGGGCUGAAAUGUUUCUCAUGAAGGAAAUUGUGGGUGCAGGUGAGAUAAACAUGAUGAGGUAAUUCUUCGGCUAUUAAAUUCCCAUCCUAGAUGUACUCAUCCUGGACAGUCACUUCUUAGCUAGUAACUGGAUAAAAGGAAUGACGGCUGCUGAUUUUAAUCUUAGAUUAGAAAGUAAGGAACAUCUUGUCUGGACUUUAAUCAUUCCUUGGGAAGCCAAA